rnacentral:misc_RNA from 1 species
UACGAAGGGGGCUAGCGUUGUUCGGAAUUACUGGGCGUAAAGCGCAUGUAGGCGGGCUGGCAAGUUGAAGGUGAAAGCCCGGGGCUCAACUCCGGAAUUGCCUCCAAAACUGCCAGUCUCGAGUCCGGAAGAGGGAAGUGGAACUCCUAGUGUAGAGGUGAAAUUCGUAGAUAUUAGGAAGAACACCAGUGGCGAAGGCGGCUUCCUGGUCCGGUACUGACGCUGAGGUGCGAAAGCGUGGGGAGCAAACAGG